rnacentral:rRNA from 1 species
UGGAGAGUUUGAUCCUGGCUCAGGACGAACGCUGGCGGCGUGCUUAACACAUGCAAGUCGAACGGAAAGGCCCCUUCGGGGGUACUCGAGUGGCGAACGGGUGAGUAACACGUGGGUGAUCUGCCCUGCACUUCGGGAUAAGCCUGGGAAACUGGGUCUAAUACCGGAUAGGACCACGGGAUGCAUGUCCUGUGGUGGAAAGCUUUUGCGGUGUGGGAUGGGCCCGCGGCCUAUCAGCUUGUUGGUGGGGUGACGGCCUACCAAGGCGACGACGGGUAGCCGGCUGAGAGGGUGUCCGGCCACACUGGGACUGAGAUACGGCCCAGACUCCUACGGGAGGCAGCAGUGGGGGAUAUUGCACAAUGGGCGCAAGCCUGAUGCAGCGACGCCGCGUGGGGGAUGACGGCCUUCGGGUUGUAAACCUCUUUCACCAUCGACGAAGGUCCGGGUUUUCUCGGAUUGACGGUAGGCGAGAAGAAGCACCGGCCAACUACGUGCCAGCAGCCGCGGUA